CACGGGGGGAGCAAGCGUUGUUCGGAAUCACUGGGCGUAAAGGGCGUGUAGGCGGUCAGGUAAGUGGAAUGUGAAAGCCCCGGCUCACCCGGGGAUCUGCAUCCCAAACUGCCUGGCUUGAGUACGGGAAAGGAUGAGGGAAUUCCUGGUGUAGCGGUGAAAUGCGUAGAUAUCAGGAGGAACACCGGUGGCGAAGGCGCUCAUCUGGCCCGAUACUGACGCUGAGGCGCGAAAGCUAGGGGAGCAAACGGG
rnacentral:rRNA from 1 species